CUUCUGUAAGAUUUAGCUCAGACGCAUGCGGAUCAACUCCCUGAGUUUGUCACUGCUGGAAUGGGUCGAGCACAAUGAUUUAGGUCGGAGAAUUUUUUUAAAGAUUUGACUGAACUGAAACCAGUUGAACGUUUGUGGUACGACAAACGUGUCAUACCGAACGUAGAGGACCGCAUGAUAGAAAUGAGUCCGUCCGUCCGUCCGUACCUUCAGUGAUACAACUGCAUAUUGCCGAAACGAGCAAGGCCACAGCAAAGCCUCUUAAAUCGUUUAACGAUCGAAGCAAUGAACGCCUCAGCGGCCUUUAAUCUUAAGGACCGAAUAAAGGAGUCGUUGUAAUCCGGACAUGCCAUCACAAGAUUUCAGUUAUUCACAAAGAAUAGAUCCUGCCGAAGGUAUUACCUUUCUAUGUUGUGCUGUACUUCUAGCGUUAAUUACGAUUAGUCAGUA